rnacentral:Y_RNA from 1 species
GUCUGGUCCAAAGGUAAUGAGUUAUUCCAACUGAUUGUUCACAAAGACUAAACUUGUUUUAAUGCUUCACUCCUCACUAUUGCACUUGACUUGGGGAAA